UUAUCGGAGAGUUUGAUCCUGGCUCAGGACGAACGCUGGCGGCGUGCCUAAUACAUGCAAGUCGAGCGGACAGAUGGGAGCUUGCUCCCUGA
rnacentral:rRNA from 6 species